rnacentral:lncRNA from 1 species
CAAUUGAGAGUUGAAAUACAAGUUUACAUUUUGAGCAUAGAUUCCAUCAGUGAUUCAUCUAAGGUAUUUGUAUUCAAAUCUGUUUUUAAUGAUUGAUAUGCAAUUUCUUUCAAAAAACAAAUCUUGCUUCCUGAUGCCUUUAAUGAUUCGAUAAUGAAAACAAAAAAAUCAAUUAAUAAUUAUUUGUUCAUUAAAUGAUUAAUUCAAAUUUGGAUUGUUUUUUUUUAACAAAAAUUAAUUUACGAGUAACUGUAAUUCGUUUGUUUACAGGAUUUUGGUUUAAGCUUUUUUCUGCGACAAAGAUGGAAUGAUUCUCGUCUGAUACAUGAUCGAAAACUGGCACAUUUCAACUAAGCAAAAAUCUAUGAAUAAUAGUAUGGGACCAGAGAUUGUUUAUUCUAAACGAAAAACGUGCAGCCCUUCACAGAGUAUAUUACGCUGAAAA